GAUGAACGCUGGCGGCGUGCCUAAUACAUGCAAGUCGAGCGAACGGACGAGAAGCUUGCUUCUCUGAUGUUAGCGGCGGACGGGUGAGUAACACGUGGAUAACCUACCUAUAAGACUGGGAUAACUUCGGGAAACCGGAGCUAAUACCGGAUAAUAUUUUGUACCGCAUGGUUCAAAAGUGAAAGACGGUCUUGCUGUCACUUAUAGAUGGAUCCGCGCUGCAUUAGCUAGUUGGUAAGGUAACGGCUUACCAAGGCAACGAUGCAUAGCCGACCUGAGAGGGUGAUCGGCCACACUGGAACUGAGACACGGUCCAGACUCCUACGGGAGGCAGCAGUAGGGAAUCUUCCGCAAUGGGCGCAAGCCUGACGGAGCAACGCCGCGUGAGUGAUGAAGGUCUUCGGAUCGUAAAACUCUGUUAUUAGGGAAGAACAUAUGUGUAAGUAACUGUGCACAUCUUGACGGUACCUAAUCAAAAAGCCACGGCUAACUACGUG
rnacentral:rRNA from 1 species